rnacentral:rRNA from 1 species
CCCGCUGAACUUAAGCAUAUCAAUAAGCGGAGGAAAAGAAACCAACAGGGAUUGCCUCAGUAACGGCGAGUGAAGCGGCAAGAGCUCAAAUUUGAAAGCUGGCUCCUUCGGGGUCCGCAUUGUAAUUUGCAGAGGAUGCUUCGGGAGCAGCCCCCAUCUAAGUGCCCUGGAACGGGCCGUCAUAGAGGGUGAAAAUCCCGUAUGGGAUGGGGUGUCUGCGCCCAUGUGAAGCUCCUUCGACGAGUCGAGUUGUUUGGGAAUGCAGCUCUAAAUGGGUGGUAAAUUUCAUCUAAAGCUAAAUAUUGGCCGGAGACCGAUAGCGCACAAGUAGAGUGAUCGAAAGAUGAAAAGCACUUUGAAAAGAGAGUUAAAAAGCACGUGAAAUUGUUGAAAGGGAAGCGCUUGCGAUCAGACUCGCCUUGGGGGUUCAGCCGGCAUUCGUGCCGGUGUACUUCCCCCAGGGCGGGCCAGCGUCGGUUUGGGUGGCCGGUCAAAGGCCCUUGGAAUGUAACGCCUCUCGGGGCGUCUUAUAGCCAAGGGUGCCAUGCGGCCUACCUGGACCGAGGAACGCGCUUCGGCUCGGACGCUGGCAUAAUGGUCGUAAGCGACCCGUCUUGAAACACGG